CUACGGUUAAAUCACAUUGAAAACAUCGGUUCUCGUUCGAUCACCGAAGUUAUGCAGCAUCGAGUCCGGUUAGUACUUAGAUGAGGGACUGCUUGGGAACACCGAAUACUGUAA